rnacentral:lncRNA from 1 species
AUACAAGACAUUAGCUUCCACAUGUAAAUAAAACAUAACAGAUCAGUUUUAUUCAUUACUAUUAACACCCUUUAUUCACACAACAUAUAAAAAAACAUAGAUUGCAAAGUAUGGACCAUGGAGAGCUGAAAUGCACUACCACAGAGGUUAUAUGCUGCAUCAGUAGCCGCCAGUGCCGCAUCUGUGGGCUUCUCAGCAAGAGUGAGACUUUCACCUUCAGCUUCUUUUAUCUGCCUCAUGAUGUCUAACUUUGUUUCAGAUUAGUUUUAUUCAUUACUGUUAACACCCUUUAUUCACACAACAUAUAAAUAAAACAUAGAUUGCAAUGUAUGGACCAUGGACAGCUGAAAUGCACUACCACAGAGGUUUUAUGCUGCAUCAGUAGCCACCAGUGCCGCAUCUGUGGGCUUCUCAGCAAGAGCGAGACUUUCACCUUCAGCUUCUUUUAUCUGCCUCAUGAUGUCUAACUUUGUUUCACGAAGGGCUUCUAUUUUGCCAUUAAUCUUCUCUAGCUUCUGUUUCAACUUUCCAAC